AAUGAACGCUGGCGGCAGGCUUAAUACAUGCAAGUCGAGGGACAGCACAGGUAGCAAUACUGGGUGGUAACCGGCAAACGGGUGCGGAACACGUACACAACCUUCCUUUAAGUGGGGGAUAGCCCAGAGAAAUUUGGAUUAAUACCCCGUAAUAUAGUUGAAUGGCAUCAUUUGAUUAUUAUAGCUACGGCGCUUAAUGAUGGGUGUGCGGCUGAUUAGAUAGUUGGCGGGAUAACGGCCCACCAAGUCUACGAUCAGUAGCUGAUGUGAGAGCAUGAUCAGCCACACGGGCACUGAGACACGGGCCCGACUCCUACGGGAGGCAGCAGUAAGGAAUAUUGGUCAAUGGACGCAAGUCUGAACCAGCCAUGCCGCGUGAAGGAUUAAGGUCCUCUGGAUUGUAAACUUCUUUUAUUUGGGACGAAAAAGGGCCUUUCUAGGUCAACUGACGGUACCAGAUGAAUAAGCACCGGCUAACUCCGUGCCAGCCGCCGCCGUAAGAC
rnacentral:rRNA from 1 species